rnacentral:rRNA from 1 species
UACGAAGGGGGCUAGCGUUGCUCGGAAUCACUGGGCGUAAAGCGCACGUAGGCGGAUUGCUAAGUCAGGGGUGAAAUCCUGGAGCUCAACUCCAGAACUGCCUUUGAUACUGGCGGUCUCGAGUCCGGGAGAGGUGAGUGGAACUCCGAGUGUAGAGGUGAAAUUCGUAGAUAUUCGGAAGAACACCAGUGGCGAAGGCGGCUCACUGGCCCGGUACUGACGCUGAGGUGCGAAAGCGUGGGGAGCAAACAGG